GAUGAACGUUGGCGGCGUGUCUAAGGCAUGCAAGUCGUGCGGACAUCAAUUUGUAGCAAUACGUGUUGAUGUUAGCGGCAAACGGGUGCGUAACACAUUGGUAAUCUACCCUCCAGUCGGGCAUAACUCCGCGAAAGCGGGGCUAAUUCCACGAUGGACAUGGCGGGGACAUAUGUCAUUCGCAUGUAAAGCGCUAAAACGCGCUGGAGGAGGAGCCUAUGGCCCAUCAGCUAGUUGGCGGAGUAAAAGCCCACCAAGGCUAUGACGGGUAGGGGGUGUGAGAGCAUCGACCCCCCUCACUGGGACUGAGACACUGCCCAGACACCUACGGGGAGGCAG
rnacentral:rRNA from 1 species